rnacentral:rRNA from 1 species
UAGGGAAUCUUCGGCAAUGGACGAAAGUCUGACCGAGCAACGCCGCGCGAGUGAAGAAGGUUUUCGGAUCGUAAAACUCUGUUGUUAGAGAAGAACAAGGACGUUAGUAACUGAACGUCCCCUGACGGUAUCUAACCAGAAAGCCACGGCUAACUACGUGCCAGCAGCCGCGGUAAUACGUAGGUGGCAAGCGUUGUCCGGAUUUAUUGGGCGUAAAGCGAGCGCAGGCGGUUUCUUAAGUCUGAUGUGAAAGCCCCCGGCUCAACCGGGGAGGGUCAUUGGAAACUGGGGGACUUGAGUGCAGAAGGGGAGUGUAGAUUUCCAUGUGUAGCGGUGAAAUGCGUAGAUAUAUGGGGGAACACCAGUGGCGAAGGCGGCUCUCUGGUCUGUCACUGGCUCUGGGGCUCGAGAGCGUGGGGAGCAAACAGU